rnacentral:rRNA from 1 species
GAUCAUGGCUCAGGAUGAACGCUAGCUACAGGCUUAACACAUGCAAGUCGAGGGGCAGCAUGAACUUAGCUUGCUAAGUUUGAUGGCGACCGGCGCACGGGUGAGUAACACGUAUCCAACCUGCCGAUGACUCGGGGAUAGCCUUUCGAAAGAAAGAUUAAUACCCGAUGGCAUAGUUCUUCCGCAUGGUAGAACUAUUAAAGGAUUUCGGUCAUCGAUGGGGAUGCGUUCCAUUAGGUUGUUGGCGGGGUAACGGCCCACCAAGCCUUCGAUGGAUAGGGGUUCUGAGAGGAAGGUCCCCCACAUUGGAACUGAGACACGGUCCAAACUCCUACGGGAGGCAGCAGUGAGGAAUAUUGGUCAAUGGACGAGAGUCUGAACCAGCCAAGUAGCGUGAAGGAUGACUGCCCUAUGGGUUGUAAACUUCUUUUAUACGGGAAUAAAGUGAGGCACGUGUGCCUUUUUGUAUGUACCGUAUGAAUAAGGAUCGGCUAACUCCGUG